rnacentral:lncRNA from 1 species
UUGUCCCAGUAAUGCGUUAACUUCUGUGCUGAGCAUCUCAACAUAGAUUAUGUGGGGAGAGGGAGGACCCUCCGGAAGAGUCCUGGCUGAGCUUAAUCAGCUUGUUAGCACAGAGAAGCAGUUGCAUCUGUGUCCCACGAAGAUAAACGCAGGUAUAACAAGGACUUACUGUAAGCAGCUGAGCUACAUUUUUCUGAGAUGAUUUUUUUCAUGUUGGCAGCUGCGAACCUGAACUGACUCCUAUGAACUAGUCUUCUCCAGCAAUAGACCCUCCUUCAACUUAUGGUAGCCUGUACACCAACGGUGACAGACUGGAAAGCAGGAUCCACUGGGACAUCUAUGGGAAAAGGAGGGGGAAUGAGAUCAAGGAUUGAGGACGCUAAUGGGGCACCAGCUCCACAAUGGCCAUCACUGAGCACAUAGAGGAGUGAAAUUUAAGGGGGCAGAGUGGAGCGUUCAUAGAUUCGAGUUCAACAUGAUCGAAGAUGGAAGGUAGAAGGCAGAAGGCAUGUGUGAUCCAUUUACUUUGGACAACAAGUACAUGGUCUACAAGGUGUCCACAUUGGCCUCUGGGAACCACGGACAGGGCCAAUGUAUAAUCACGGAGUUGUGCAAGGAUCAGCAUCCCAUGUUUACACUGACACUGCAAGUGAACAGAUAAAGAGGUUGAGAAGUGAAGAGAUGUCAUCCUGCUCAUCAGCAAUGGCAAGUGCUCAUUCCCAGGAUUUCUCAUUAGGUCAGCAUUCUUUCUACUAUGCUUUUCUACUAGACUAUUUUACUUCUUGCAUUACAUAAUAGUACAUUGUUAACUAAAAAUCAUGC